CUCCAGAUCUCUGAUGAACCUUUCUACCCUUUCCUGAAACUCUUCUAUUCCAAGACCAACUUUUUGAGAUGAUAGCACUGAUGUGCAAGCACGCCACAAGUUCUACAAGGCUAUUGUGUCUGGAGCUAAGAUCCAGGUCUCAUCCCAAGGACUACUCAAGAAUCACAGUGGUGGGAAUUAAGCUCAGGGUGUUCCUUAUCCCAUCACAGCUGGAUGAGUUCUAGUCUUAUUUUGUCAGCAAAGUAGAAGGAGCAAGCACAGUUUGCAGAUGGCAUAAUUUGAGGAAUGCCUUUCAAUUCCUCCUCCAGCAUGUAAAAUCUUCUCCGCAGCAGACUGUCCCACUCCUACUCUAGGAUUUCAAGAAGGUUUAGUCUUAUUAUUACUCUUGCUAACAGAAAACACUGGAAUAGAUUCUUUCUUAUAUCAUUGAAAAGAGUGAGUUGCAUCCAAAUGUAAACAUUUAGAUAGUUCACACUCAUUUCAGUGACAUUUUCCAUUUUGUUAUGAAAAACAUUUGCAUUAGCAAGGUAAUGAAGAUUUUUGCAGC
rnacentral:lncRNA from 1 species